GGCAACCCUCUCCCACCACAGGGAGAUAUUUGGGGUGGGGUCUUCUCCCCCCCGUCUGCUUUCUGUCUCCCUGUGCCUCAGUUACCCCCAGAUGCCUUCUCAACCUUUGCUUCCUUUUUCAAAACCAUCCUUCACUUUUUCCCACUCUGCUUCAGUUUUACCUCAAACUCCUCUUCCUAACGUUUAUUUUCUCUUUCUCCACUUUUUUACUAUUUCCACUCCUGACUUUCUCUCUGCCUUAGUCAACCACAAAAUGCUCCCUCUUCCUUUGCUUUCCUUCCUAAAUUUCCUUCUUUCCUUCCUUUUUUUCUAAACCUUUGCUUUAGUAUUCCAUUCUGCCUCAGUUUCUCCUCAGAAUGCCUCUUCUUCCUUUUCUUUAUUUCCUAACAUUUAUUUCCUUCCUUACUGCAAAAUCUUUUCCUUUUCUUUCCUUCCUAAACUUAUUCACCUCCUUUCUUCCUGUAUUUCUUCUGCACUGCCUUAGUUUCUUUCAGGCUGCUUCCUUUCUUCUCCUUUUCUAACAUUUCCUCCCUCCCUUCCUAAAUCUAUUCAUUUAUUGUUUCCUCAUACCUGCCUCCCACCAUAGUUUCCUGUUCUUCCUUUUCUUUCCCUAAUGUGCAUUUAUUUACUAAUUUAUUUAUUUCAUUUCAGCUCAUUUUCUCUCAAAAACUCUUUCUGUUUGUGCAAAUUUACUAAAUUAAAAAUUUAUGGGGAUCUGCCCCCCCCCCCACAAUUUCAUAACAAUAUUUUUUCUUUGGGUGACACUCAAAGACCACCAAGGAAAUUGUGCUAAAGAGAAUGUGCCAAGGGCAAGAUAGCUUGGACCACUCUCUGAUUCAUACCCCCAGCCCCAGGAUUACACACACAUGAAGGUGAUAGCUGGUUGGUGAAAAACUCUGUGUGAGAGGCAGGCAAGGGAAGAUCUCCCAAGGUGAGAGACUGGGAGAAGAAAGGGAAGGUCUCAGAUCUGGGAAUGUGAAGAAUGAAGCUUAAGAAUGGCAAAAAGGAGAAACUGAAAUGAGCAGAUCCACCUAUCCCUA